CCUACGGGAGGCAGCAGUGGGGAAUAUUGCACAAUGGGGGAAACCCUGAUGCAGCGACGCCGCGUGAAGGAAGAAGUAAUUCGUUAUGUAAAGCUCUAUCAGCAGGGAAGAAAAUGACGGUACCUGAGUAAGAAGCCCCGGCUAACUACGUGCCAGCAGCCGCGGUCAUACGUAGGGGGCAAGCGUUAUCCGGAUUUACUGGGUGUAAAGGGAGCGUAGACGGCAGUGCAAGUCUGGAGUGAAAGGCGGGGGCUCAACCCCCGGACUGCUCUGGAAACUGUACGGCUGGAGUGCAGGAGAGGUGAGUGGAAUUCCUAGUGUAGCGGUGAAAUGCGUAGAUAUUAGGAGGAACACCAGUGGCGAAGGCGGCUUACUGGACUGUAACUGACGUUGAGGCUCGAAAGCGUGGGGAGCAAACAGGAUUAGAUACCCCUGUAGUC
rnacentral:rRNA from 1 species